rnacentral:rRNA from 1 species
GAUGAACGCUGGCGGCGUGCCUAAUACAUGCAAGUCGAGCGAACAGAUAAGGAGCUUGCUCCUUUGAAGUUAGCGGCGGACGGGUGAGUAACACGUGGGUAACCUACCUAUAAGACUGGGAUAACUUCGGGAAACCGGAGCUAAUACCGGAUAACAUUUAGAACCGCAUGGUUCUAAAGUGAAAGAUGGUUUUGCUAUCACUUAUAGAUGGACCCGCGCCGUAUUAGCUAGUUGGUAAGGUAACGGCUUACCAAGGCGACGAUACGUAGCCGACCUGAGAGGGUGAUCGGCCACACUGGAACUGAGACACGGUCCAGACUCCUACGGGAGGCAGCAGUAGGGAAUCUUCCGCAAUGGGCGAAAGCCUGACGGAGCAACGCCGCGUGAGUGAUGAAGGGUUUCGGCUCGUAAAACUCUGUUAUUAGGGAAGAACAAAUGUGUAAGUAACUGUGCACAUCUUGACGGUACCUAAUCAGAAAGCCACGGCUAACUACGUGCCAGCAGCCGCGGUAAUACGUA